rfam:Halomonas ilicicola DSM 19980 genome assembly, contig: EJ56DRAFT_NODE_3_len_1366_cov_57_330894.40
GCAAAUCCGGGUCCUCAAGGCCGAGACACGAGACGAACCGCCCACGGGCGGGAAGUCAUCGAUGCCCCGCUUCCAGGAAAAGCCUCUAAGCUUCAGAUCACGCAAGACCGUACCCCAAACCGACACAGGUGGUCAGGGUGAGAAUCCUAAGGCGCUUGAGAGAACUCGGGUGAAGGAACUAGGCAAAAUGGUGCCGUAACUUCGGGAGAAGGCACGCCGGCGUCAGGUGAAGCCCCGUGCGGGUGGAGCCGAGGCCGGCCGAAGAUACCAGGUGGCUGCAACUGUUUAUUAAAAACACAGCACUCUGCUAACGCGUAAGCGGACGUAUAGGGUGUGACGCCUGCCCGGUGCCGGAAGGUUAAGUGAUGGUGUUAGCGCAAGCGAAGCACUUGAUCGAAGCCCCGGUAAACGGCGGCCGUAACUAUAACGGUCCUAAGGUAGCGAAAUUCCUUGUCGGGUAAGUUCCGACCUGCACGAAUGGCGUAAUGAUGGCCACGCUGUCUCCACCCGAGACUCAGUGAAAUUGAAAUCGCAGUGAAGAUGCUGUGUACCCGCGGCUAGACGGAAAGACCCCGUGAACCUUUACUAUAGCUUCACACUGGACGCUGAUGUUGCUUGUGUAGGAUAGCUGGGAGGCUAGGAAACGCGGACGCCAGUUCGCGUGGAGCCAUCCUUGAAAUACCAGCCUGGCAUCAUUGGCGUUCUAACUUGGGCCCGUUAUCCGGGUCGAGGACCGUGUGUGGUGGGUAGUUUGACUGGGGCGGUCUCCUCCCAAAGCGUAACGGAGGAGCACGAAGGUACCCUCAGCACGGUUGGAAAUCGUGCAGUGAGUGCAAGAGCAUAAGGGUGCUUGACUGCGAGACGGACAGGUCGAGCAGGUACGAAAGUAGGUUCUAGUGAUCCGGUGGUUCUGCAUGGAAGGGCCAUCGCUCAACGGAUAAAAGGUACUCCGGGGAUAACAGGCUGAUACCGCCCAAGAGUUCACAUCGACGGCGGUGUUUGGCACCUCGAUGUCGGCUCAUCACAUCCUGGGGCUGAAGUCGGUCCCAAGGGUAUGGCUGUUCGCCAUUUAAAGUGGUACGCGAGCUGGGUUUAGAACGUCGUGAGACAGUUCGGUCCCUAUCUGCCGUGGGCGUCGGAAGUUUGCGAAGUGCUGCUCCUAGUACGAGAGGACCGGAGUGGACGCACCGCUGGUGUACCGGUUGUGAUGCCCAUCGCAUUGCCGGGUAGCUAAGUGCGGACGGGAUAACCGCUGAAGGCAUCUAAGCGGGAAGCCCCCUUCAAGAUGAGACUUCCCUGGGGCCGUGCGCCCCCUGAAGGACCCUCGAAGACGACGAGGUUGAUAGGCGGGAUGUGGACGCACCGCAAGGUGUUGAGCUAACCCGUACUAAUGGUCCGUGAGGCUUGACCAU